rnacentral:rRNA from 1 species
AUUCCAUCAUAGGAGCGGCUUGCGUGGUAUUAGCUAGUUGGUGAGGUAACGGCUCACCAAGGCUUCGAUGCCUAGGGGAUGUUAGCGCAUGAUCCCCACCACUGGGACUGAGAUACUGCCCAGACACCUACGGGUGGCUGCAGUCGAGAAUCUUCGGCAAUGGGCGAAAGCCUGACCGAGCGACGCCGCGUGUGGGAUGAAGGCCCUUGGGUUGUAAACCACUGUCAGAGGGGAUGAAAUGCACGAGAGCAAAUCUCUUGUGUUUGACAUAGCCUCAGAGGAAGCACGGGCUAAGUUCGUGCCAGCAGCCGCGGUAAGACGAACUGUGCAAACGUUAUUCGGAAUCACUGGGCUUAAAGGGUGCGUAGGCGGUCUUUUAAGUAGGGUGUGAAAGCCUCUGGCUCAACCAGAGAACUGCGCCCUAAACUAGAAGGCUUGAGUGAGGUAGGGGUGUGUGGAACUUCCAGUGGAGCGGUGAAAUGUGUUGAUAUUGGAAGGAACGCCGGUGGC